UGUGUAGGCGGUUGGAUAAGUGUGGUGUGAAAUCUCCCGGCUCAACUGGGAGGGUGCGCUACAGACUGUCUGACUAGAGUGCGGGAUGGGAAAGUGGAAUUCCUGGUGUAGCGGUGAAAUGCGUAGAUAUCAGGAGGAACACCGGUGGUGUAGACGGCUUUCUGGACCGUAACUGACGCUGAAACACGAAAGCGUGGGUAGCAAACAGGAUUAGAUACCCUGGUAGUCCACGCCCUAAACGAUGCAUAUUUGGUGUGGGUCAUUCAUUUGAUCCGUGCCGGAGCUAACGCGUUAAAUAUGCCGCCUGGGGAGUACAGUCGCAAGGCUGAA
rnacentral:rRNA from 1 species